UUUUUAUUCAUUAAGUUUGAAACGUCUUAUAAGUCUGGUCCAUAAAGGUCAUAGUUACAUAGAAGAAAGGUCCUGUUUAGUGUUCAAAGAGUCGAAUUCAAUGGAUUUAAAUCAAGACCAAAAUAACACUUACUUGUACUACAGCUACUCUGGAGUUCUUGAGAACUGUUGCUUGCCUUUCUUCACGAAGCCUGUGGGAAGACGGCUAGUGCUUAUAACCCCAUUAUGUUCGCUGCCAGCGGAGGUGGCGCAUGCGACACUUCACGGCCUCGGUCUUCGUCAUCCGAAGAACGAACCAUUCGCAGAGUACAGGACUAAAUCUGUCCUGUUUCCUCACCACUGCCCGGACUAUGUACGAAAGAUAAAAAUGUUUAAUUCUAAAGUAUAGACUAGUAAGAAAUUUUUAUAAAAAAAAAUAUUCGCAGUUUUUAUAUGCGCGUGUUUUAAAACGUAAUUUUAUUUCUGCAUCUGUCAAUACUUAUAUAUUUAAUGGCCAGUUUCCUUAAUUAUAGUUAUCUUGGCCUAUAUUGCGGGGCUGGCGUUCUGAUAUCCAAUGCCUUUUUAAUCAACAAAAAAAAACGGAGGAGGUUCUCAUUUUGACACGUAUAUUUUUUUAUGUUAGACCGCGCAUAAUAUUUUAGCUGAAAUUAGCUUAAAUUUACGCUGAAACUAGGUAUUGGGCUUCGAUCAGACGGAGCGAGUUUUCGGGCGAGAAUAGAACGCGUUUAUUGUUAGCAAUAAUUGCCAUGAAAAUAUCUACCCAUUUACGACACAGGCGGAACUAAAAACACACAUUCGGGAAUUUUCGAAUUUCGAUUUGGAGGGUUGUUUCAAGAUGCCUUUCUACAAUCGUAAACACUAAGAGAAAACCAACAAAUAUGUAUGAGAGUCUAUCGCUCGGGUAACGUUAGCGUUAACGAUUAUAGAAAAGCAUAUUAGCUACGGUACCAGAUGUAUUUUCACUCAAGAGAGACCAGCUACCUAGUAAAUAAUAAUAUUUUCCAUUCUCAUAUUUCCCACAUGCAUACAUACUUCAUAUGAACGAUGUAUCAAAACGUCCUGCAGUUUAAAGUUGCAAUGCUUUGCUCUUUUACGAACGAUGCUCGACGUAGAACCACUAAAACGUAACUUAGUAACUCGUUGGAACUUAAAUGGUUUAAAAGUUGCGCGACUAGCGAAGUAAUUUGCUUCAUUAAAAUAUUUUGUUUCAAAUUAGAGUUGCUAAAAUGAAAAUAUUAUUUUGCAGUUUCUUUUUAGUAAGUUUUAAUCCUUCGACGUUGGAUAAAACGUGAUUAUAGUAUUAAGAUCUAUGAUAGUGAAUCUCAAAUAUCGUUAACUGACUAAUAAAAUUAGACGUGAAUGUCAUUGGAGCCAACAAUAAUGUUUAAAAAUCGUUAAAUCUUAUCACCUAAUUAAUAAAUAAAUUUGUGUUUUUUA